GCUUCAUGAAUGCACACAGUCACGUCGCAGAAGUGCCCACCCAGCUUCUGCCCAUUGAGGGUCUCAAGCAGAGAGCGUGAGAAGUUCUGCAGAUGUAUGUGGCGCACAGCCUCUACAGCCGCCGACUCCGACUUCUCUUCAGGCACCAGGCCUGGCCGUGGCCGCCUUCUCACCGACUCCAAGGCAGCACUUCCGGGCGCUUCUCUUUAUUUUUAUACAGUUUUAUUGAGAUAUAAUUUACAUGCUAUCCAGCCCAUCUAUUUCAAGUGUACCAUGCAAGGGGUUUGUAUAUAUUCACAGAGUUGUGUAUCCAUCACCAUCGUUUUAGAACAUUGAUCACUCCAGAAGAAACUACGUACCCAUCAGCAGCCACUGCCCAUUUCCCUGAUCUGCCCCGCCCUAGGAAAUCCGUAAUCACUUUCAGUCUAUGGAUUUGCCUAUUCUAGACCAUUCAUAUAAAUGAAGUCACACAACGCUGGGUCUUAUGUGACUGGCUUCUAUCAAAGUUUGCAAGGUUCAUUUAUGUUCAUGGGCUGACCCCACAUUGGACACCGCUGCAUCCAUGUCCAUCACACAACACAGCUGCCGUUUCUUCUGCCUGCUUAUGGGAAAGUCCCCUCUUCUCCGUUUUCUUCUCUUCCUGCCCUAUCACACCGUGCACUUCUCCCUUUCCUUAAAGAACCACCGUCAACUUUAGGAGGAGGGAAAGGGGUGGCUCUGGCAGGAAAAGCCAGAAUCCCCUCUAGCCAGCAGAGAGAGAGGAAUGGCUGCAUGUUUUCUCCCCCAGUCCAAGGCACUGGGUCUUGGCUGGGUUGAAGGUUCAGAGCUGCUCUCCUGCUGUGUCGGUGAGUUCUGGUCAACCUGCAACCUCCUGAUGUGGCCAUUGCAGUUCAUCGAGUCUUCAGGGACUCCCCAUGGCCUGGAGUACUUUGCCUUGCUUACACGGGAGAGGAGAAUGGAUUUAUAGAGAACAUCAACUAAAUCCAACUUGAGCAUUGUGUGGCCACACUUGCUAGAUUGCUAUAGUCUAAAUCUAGCAUUGUAGAAAGACGGGGGAGCUUGGAGCCGCACAAACCCAGGUCUGGAACUGGCUCCUUACCUUGAAAGGUGAAUGAUCCUGGCAGGACUCUUAGCCUCCCUGGGUCUCAAUUUCUUUAUCUGUUUCAUGGGAAUGAGGAUCUCUGCUGGGUGGUUGGGUGAUGCGGGGGCUGUGUGAAAACAGCUUGUCAAUACAAGCCAAAAUAGAAAUAUUUCUCCACAGAGUAUGAAGGUCAAAUGAGAGAAUACAUUUAAAUUAAAUGGAAAAUUAAAAUGGUAAAAAAUGCAAAGCUGUAUUGAAAGUUCCGAGCUUCUCUAUAAGGAGCUUUUUGACUAUGUAGGAAUCCUGUACUCGUUCCCCCUAAAUAUAAAAAAAAAGUUGAAGGAGGCAGAAGGGAGAGUGAUGCACGAUGGGCAAGGACUUCACCUGCUGUUGCUGGCUUUGAGGAUGGAGGAAGGAGGCCACAAACCUAGAAGCUGGAGCCCCUAGAAUCUAGAAAAGGCAGGGACCCGAUUCUUUCCUUGAGCCUCCAGAAGGGACACAGCCCCGCCAGCACCUUGACUUUAGCCUGGUGAGAUCCUCUUAGGACUUUUGGCAACCAGAACUAUAAGACAGAAAUGGAAGCCACUGAGUCUGUAGCUGUUUGUUGCAGCAGCAAUAGAAAACUAAUGCAGAGCCCAAGAAAUCACUGGUGAUGAGGUCGGGAAAGUGGGCUCAGGAGGUCUGGAUCUGUGAUGAGAUCGGGAAAGUGGCCUCAAGAGGUCUGGAUCUGUGAUGAGAUGGGGGAAGUGGGCUCAGGAGGUCUGGAUCUGUGAUGAGAUGGGGGAAGUGGGCUCAGGAGGUCUGGAUCUGUGAUGAGAUGGGGAAAGUGGGCUCAGGAGGUCUGGAUCUGUGAUGAGAUGGGGAAAGUGGGCUCAGGAGGUCUGGAUCUGUGAUGAGAUGGGGGAAGUGGGCUCAGGAGGUCUGGAUCUGUGGUGGGGAUCUGGAGUGGAAGGGGAAUUCAUUUGUUCAUUGUCUAUCCUUUUGCAUUGAUUGAAUUUUUUUCUAUAUAUAUGUGAAUUUUCACAAUAAAAUUUUUUUCC
rnacentral:lncRNA from 1 species